rnacentral:rRNA from 1 species
UUACUGAGUUUACGCUCUACAACCCUUUGUGAACAUACCUAUAACUGUUGCUUCGGCGGGUAGGGUCUCCGUGACCCUCCCGGCCUCCCGCCCCCGGGCGGGUCGGCGCCCGCCGGAGGAUAACCAAACUCUGAUUUAACGACGUUUCUUCUGAGUGGUACAAGCAAAUAAUCAAAACUUUUAACAACGGAUCUCUUGGUUCUGGCAUCGAUGAAGAACGCAGCGAAAUGCGAUAAGUAAUGUGAAUUGCAGAAUUCAGUGAAUCAUCGAAUCUUUGAACGCACAUUGCGCCCGCCAGCAUUCUGGCGGGCAUGCCUGUUCGAGCGUCAUUUCAACCCUCAAGCUCUGCUUGGUGUUGGGGCCCUACGGCUGACGUAGGCCCUCAAAGGUAGUGGCGGACCCUCCCGGAGCCUCCUUUGCGUAGUAACUUUACGUCUCGCACUGGGAUCCGGAGGGACUCUUGCCGUAAAACCCCCAAUUUUCCAAAGGUUGACCUCGGAUCAGGUAGGAAUACCCGCUGAACUUAAGCAUAUCAAUAAGCGGAGGAAAAGAAACCAACAGGGAUUGCCUCAGUAACGGCGAGUGAAGCGGCAACAGCUCAAAUUUGAAAUCUG